AAGUAGGCCAAAUUUGCUUUGUGUUGUCACUUCUUGUACACGCAAACAGCCCCCUCUCACAGCCAUUAUUUUAAUCCAGACAACUUUUUUUUUCUUUAUUGUUAGAAAAUGCCAUUUCCAUUCCCUCUCCGCCCGGUAAAAAAUUGCCUUCUGUCAUCCCAGAGCGCUUUUGUUGAUGUAGCGUCUCGGCGUGCAACCUGUUAUUCGACUUGGCGCCUGACGAGGGAGCUAAUUCCACCGUUCCACCUGGAGAGGGCCCACCGCCUUGCUCUCACUCAUUCUUCCUUUCUCUUGAACAAUUUCCGGAGAUGACGUCCCUGGAAGUCGCCGGGCUAGAGAUACUGGACAGUCUGCGGAAGAGGGAAGGUUGACGUCAGCAAAAGGAGCCCGCAGAGAGAGGCGAACGGAUUGAAGCCUUGGCACCAGAAAUAAUUGUGACAUCAUCGCUAUUUGCUAAUAAUUUCUCUUGCUGCUUAGUGCCUUUAUUAUUGGUGUGACAAAGCAAACACAAGAUUACUAUAAGGAUGGUGCGAAUUUUGGUUAAUGGAGAUAUUGUGCAAGAUGAUGACCCCCGAGUACGACAGACCACUCAGAAUAGGGAGAACUCGUCUCGACUCGGGAGGAAUGGUGUAUGUAUUUUGGUUUGCUUAGAAUUGUUCAAUAAAAGAUUUUCUCCUAUAGUAA